GAUGAACGCUAGCGGCAGGCCUAACACAUGCAAGUCGAGGGGUAACAGGGUAGCAAUAUCGCUGACGACCGGCGCACGGGUGAGUAACGCGUAUGCAACCUUCCUUUAACUGGGGGAUAGCCCGGAGAAAUUCGGAUUAAUACCCCAUAACAUCAUGAGAAGGCAUCUUUUUACGAUUAAAGCUCCGGCGGUUAAAGAUGGGCAUGCGUGCCAUUAGCUAGUUGGUGAGGUAAUUGCUCACCAAGGCUACGAUGGCUAGGGGGUCUGAGAGGAUGAUCCCCCACACUGGUACUGAGACACGGACCAGACUCCUACGGGAGGCAGCAGUGAGGAAUAUUGGGCAAUGGGCGCAAGCCUGACCCAGCCAUCCCGCGUGAAGGAUGAAGGCCCUAUGGGUCGUAAACUUCUUUUAUACACCAAGAAAAAUCCCCACGAGUGGGGACCCGACGGUAGUGUAUGAAUAAGCAUCGGCUAACUCCGUGCCAGCCGCCGCUGUAAUAC
rnacentral:rRNA from 1 species